UGGGGAAUAUUGCACAAUGGGCGAAAGCCUGAUGCAGCGACGCCGCGUGAGGGAUGACGGCCUUCGGGUUGUAAACCUCUUUCAGUAGGGACGAAGCGCAAGUGACGGUACCUGCAGAAGAAGCACCGGCUAACUACGUGCCAGCAGCCGCGGUAAUACGUAGGGUGCGAGCGUUGUCCGGAAUUACUGGGCGUAAAGAGCUCGUAGGCGGUUUGUCACGUCGUCUGUGAAAUCCUAGGGCUUAACCCUGGACGUGCAGCCGAUACGGGCUGAAUGAGUACUACAGAGGAGACUGGAAUUUCUGGUGUAGCGGUGGAAUGCACAGAUAUCAGGAAGAACACCGAUGGCGAAGGCAGGUCUCUGGGUAGUAACUGACGCUGAGGAGCGAAAGCAUGGGUAGCGAACAGG
rnacentral:rRNA from 1 species